UACGUAGGGGGCAAGCGUUGUCCGGAAUCAUUGGGCGUAAAGCGCGCGUAGGCGGCCCUGUAAGUCCGCUGUAAAAGUCAAAGGCUCAACCUUUGAAAGCCGGUGGAUACUGCAGGGCUAGAGUCCGGAAGAGGCGAGUGGAAUUCCUGGUGUAGCGGUGGAAUGCGCAGAUAUCAGGAGGAACACCGGUGGCGAAGGCGGGUCUCUGGGCCGAUACUGACGCUGAGGAGCGAAAGCGUGGGGAGCGAACAGG
rnacentral:rRNA from 1 species